CUGGUGGCGAGUGGCGAACGGGUGAGUAAUACAUCGGAACAUGUCCUGUAGUGGGGGAUAGCCCGGCGAAAGCCGGAUUAAUACCGCAUACGAUCUACGGAUGAAAGCGGGGGACCUUCGGGCCUCGCGCUAUAGGGUUGGCCGAUGGCUGAUUAGCUAGUUGGUGGGGUAAAGGCCUACCAAGGCGACGAUCAGUAGCUGGUCUGAGAGGACGACCAGCCACACUGGGACUGAGACACGGCCCAGACUCCUACGGGAGGCAGCAGUGGGGAAUUUUGGACAAUGGGCGAAAGCCUGAUCCAGCAAUGCCGCGUGUGUGAAGAAGGCCUUCGGGUUGUAAAGCACUUUUGUCCGGAAAGAAAUCCUUGGCUCUAAUACAGUCGGGGGAUGACGGUACCGGAAGAAUAAGCACCGGCUAACUACGUGCCAGCAGCCGCGGUAAUACGUAGGGUGCAAGCGUUAAUCGGAAUUACUGGGCGUAAAGCGUGCGCAGGCGGUUUGCUAAGACCGAUGUGAAAUCCCCGGGCUCAACCUGGGAACUGCAUUGGUGACUGGCAGGCUAGAGUAUGGCAGAGGGGGGUAGAAUUCCACGUGUAGCAGUGAAAUGCGUAGAGAUGUGGAGGAAUACCGAUGGCGAAGGCAGCCCCCUGGGCCAAUACUGACGCUCAUGCACGAAAGCGUGGGGAGCAAACAGGAUUAG
rnacentral:rRNA from 1 species